ensembl:processed_transcript
ACUCCAGGAAGCCGCAGCAUACGGCCUGAAGGAGGAAGGACGCGGUCAGUUUGAAAUAGCUGAAUCAAUGACAUCCUGAAAGCAGCAAUGCAGUUAAGACAGAAGCCCAUGUUUUGCUGUAUCUCCACACAGCUGGGCCAGUUCUGCAGAUGAUCAGAUGGAGUUCGCCAUCAUCACAUCCCUCAUUGCUGCAGUCAGACUGAAACAGGACGGUGAUGCAUGGCAGUCAAUGCCCGAGAUACGGAUGAUGAAGAGAC